GGUCUGACCUGCCCAGUGAUUAUUAUAAUUAAAUGGCCGCAGUAUUUUGACUGUGCAAAGGUAGCGUAAUCAUUAGUUUUUUAAUUGAAAGCUUGUAUGAAUGGUUGGACGAGGUAAAAACUGUCUUUAUUUAAUUAAAAUUAGAAUUUAACUUUUAAGUGAAAAGGCUUAAAUUUGACUAAUAGACGAGAAGACCCUAUAGAUCUUUAUAAAUUAUUUAUUAAUUAUGUUAAGGUUAUUUAUUGAUUAAUAAUAAAAUUUAUUUUAUUGGGGUAAUAUAAAGAUUCAGUAAAUUCUUUGAAUAUUUAAACAAGGAUAAUUGGUUAAUUGAUCCAUUAUUAUUGAUUAUAAGAUUAAGUUACCUUAGGGAUAACAGCGUAAUUUUUUUAGAGAGUUCAUAUCGAUAAAGAAGUUUGCGACCUCGAUGUUGGAUUAAAAAUUAUUCAGGGUGUAGAAGUCUUGAAAUUUGGUCUG
rnacentral:rRNA from 1 species